UGUAGCAUUUUUCUCUGUUCUUCAGUAUACUUCUUUGGGCAUUGCAGGCACAAAGAACUGCAGAUUCGUAUUUUGGAAGCUUGAAUAGUUUCUUAAAAUAAAAAUGACCAAAUUGUCAGCUUGCCUCGCUCUGCCUAUCUCAUGUUAAGGCCUUACAAAGUUCAAUGCUUUAUAAGAUUGUAUAGACUAUUUCUGAGAUUGCUCUUACAUGUGAUAUGGACUGACGUGGCGUAAAAUAGUGGUAGCUCAGGGGCCAAUCUCAUUGUUGGCUUGGAAAUAGAGAGGUUUUUAGCUUGUUGAUCAGGUGUGUCACUAGUUGUGAGAAUGUAAAUAUGAUAGAAAGCCUUCUAGUUGACAUCUUUAUCAAAAUUCAGGCCAACUAGAGAAUCGAAAGUACUUGGCCCCUGAUAAUUGCUGCUUGAGUAAAAGUGUUAACAGUUUCAGCAUGUUCUGGUUCUGCGGCACAAAUCAAGGGUUAUGAUGCUUGAGAAAUAGAAGAAAUCCUCUUCUUCAAUUCAAUGGAAGUCAGAAUGGUAUAUUGGGCAGAACUUUGAAGGCCUAUAAAUUCUAAGGGAUUUCGGGUUCUCAAACAACUGUUCAAGACUGAAAAUCCCAUCCUUAAACAAGGAACGAAUAUACUGCGUUUGUUCAUAGCCUGAAUUGUGGUUGUGGACCCGAAAGGUUCUAGAGAUGACUGGGUUAGUAGGAAAAGACAAAUUGUUAUGGCUGCAUUGAAGGUUUUAUUCAACAUUACAAAGGAUCUCUUUGUUCCAUUCACAUAUGUAGUUAUGCAAAAAGUCCUGCUUCUAGUUGUUUUCAGAGGGUCUGCAUAUGUUCUCCACACUUAAUGUUUAUUAUCUUGCAUUUUAUUAUAUUAUCUUGAUUGAAUCUAGUGGGUGAGGCACAUGUUUUUGCCAGCUCAUACUCUUAGGAAGCAAUUUUCUCUUUAGGAUUCGAUUAGUGCCAAUGACCUUGUUUUAUAAUUUAAAUUAUCGGCGUGUCAUCUGUGUACAAAAAAUAUGUACAAAAAAUAGCAGCAAAUGCUUCAUGGACUUCCAUUACAAUAUGAUUAGAAGCAUCCUAGACUGGUUGUGAUAUGUGGGAUGCUGAUCUGUUUAUCCAAAGAUGACUCAAGCAAAUGAGACACUAGACGUUUGGCUACCCAGAACAUGUACAGGGAGGCCAUCAGUGAAUUCCGGGUACUUCUUUAACCUAGCAGAUCAGAACAAAAUAUGUGCAGGAAACAGAAACAUUUGGCAAUAUGGAAGGGCUAUGCUUUUAAUUAUAGAUGUUUAACAGCUUUGAGCUUCGCUGAAAAGCUUGAAGGGAUGGAGAAAAAAGGGUUUAUUGAAACGACGUUUCGAACAGAAGGUGGAGCGUCCACUAGAAUCUGCUGAAGAAAAGGAAACCUUGUUGAAAAGAUGGAAGACAUCAUGAGAAACAUGUGUUUUUUUCCUUCUUGCUAGAGUAAGGCUGAUUGCCUUGCUUACAGGGCUUGACUGCCAUGGACUGCAUCUCCAACAUCACAUGUUCUUGUGGUCCUUGGUUUCGAGGCUGAGCCGUGCCUAUAUAAGAGCAUAUAAUCUACAAUUAAUUAAUGAAAAACUUAUGGAUGUUUUUAAUUCGAUGUGUAUUUUUUCUUGGUAUGAAAAUUAU